GAGGUAGUUCGUAUCCGUCGCGUCAGGACGAACGCUGGCGGCGGUGCUUAACACAUGCAAGUCGAACGGAAAGGACCCCGUCGCUUGCAGGGGUACGUCGAGUGGCGAACGGGUGGAGUAACACGUGGGUGAUCUGCCCUUCACUUCGGGAUAAGCCUGGGAAACUAGGGUCGUAAUACCGGAUAGGACCAAUCUUUAGUGUGGUUGGUGGAAGUUUUUUCGGUGGAGGAUGAGCCCGCGGCCUAUCAGCUUGUUGGUGGGGUAAUGGCCUACCAAGGCGACGACGGGUAGCCGGCCUGAGAGGGUGGACGGCCACAUUGGGACUGAGGCACGGCCCAGACUCCUACGGGAGGCAGCAGUGGGGAAUAUUGCACAAUGGGCGGAAGCCUGAUGCAGCGACGCCGCGUGAGGGAUGACGGCCUUCGGGUUGUAAACCUCUUUCGCUAGGGAAGAAGCCUUCGGGUGACGGUACCUGGAUAAGAAGCACCGGCUAACUACGUG
rnacentral:rRNA from 1 species